rnacentral:ribozyme from 1 species
GCCAACAUCCAGACCGUUUAGCUCCUCGAGAUGAUUUGGUGCAAUGCUUAUAGCGAUCCUAAAGUCAAGGGAGACACGGGUAUUCUCCGUCAUAUUUUCCAUUGUAAAGUGAAGACAUCUUGCUCCAUCAA